rnacentral:rRNA from 1 species
GACGAACGCUGGCGGCGUGCUUAACACAUGCAAGUCGAACGAUGAAGCUAGAGCUUGCUCUGGUGAAUUAGUGGCGAACGGGUGAGUAACACGUGAGUAACCUGCCCCGAACUCUGGGAUAACUGCUGGAAACGGUAGCUAAUACUGGAUACGACCUACGAAGGCAUCUUCUGUAGGUGGAAAGAAUUUCGGUUCGGGAUGGACUCGCGGCCUAUCAGCUUGUUGGUGAGGUAAUGGCUCACCAAAGCGACGACGGGUAGCCGGCCUGAGAGGGCGACCGGCCACACUGGGGCUGAGACACGGCCCAGACUCCUACGGGAGGCAGCAGUGGGGAAUAUUGCGCAAUGGGCGAAAGCCUGACGCAGCAACGCCGCGUGAGGGAUGACGGCCUUCGGGUUGUAAACCUCUUUCAGCAGGGAAGAAGCGAAAGUGACGGUACCUGCAGAAGAAGCACCGGCUAACUACGUGCCAGCCGCCGCAGUAA